rnacentral:rRNA from 2 species
UCCACCCGGCCAUAGCGGGGGAGCAACACCCGGACUCAUCUCGAACCCGGAAGUAAAGUCCCCUGCGUUGGGGAUGCGGUGGGAUCCGAAAGGGCCCGCAGCUACCCCAAGCUGGGAUGGA